rnacentral:rRNA from 2 species
UGCAUAUUCAAAAAGCGGAGGAAAAGAAACCAACCGGGAUUGCCUUAGUAACGGCGAGUGAAGCGGCAAAAGCUCAAAUUUGAAAUCUGGUACCUUCGGUGCCCGAGUUGUAAUUUGGAGAGGGCAACUUUGGGGCCGUUCCUUGUCUAUGUUCCUUGGAACAGGACGUCAUAGAGGGUGAGAAUCCCGUGUGGCGAGGAGUGCGGUUCUUUGUAAAGUGCCUUCGAAGAGUCGAGUUGUUUGGGAAUGCAGCUCUAAGUGGGUGGUAAAUUCCAUCUAAAGCUAAAUAUUGGCGAGAGACCGAUAGCGAACAAGUACAGUGAUGGAAAGAUGAAAAGAACUUUGAAAAGAGAGUGAAAAAGUACGUGAAAUUGUUGAAAGGGAAGGGCAUUUGAUCAGACAUGGUGUUUUGUGCCCUCUGCUCCUUGUGGGUAGGGGAAUCUCGCAUUUCACUGGGCCAGCAUCAGUUUUGGUGGCAGGAUAAAUCCAUAGGAAUGUAGCUUGCCUCGGUAAGUAUUAUAGCCUGUGGGAAUACUGCCAGCUGGGACUGAGGACUGCGACGUAAGUCAAGGAUGCUGGCAUAAUGGUUAUAUGCCGCCCGUCUUGAACCACCGGA